CCCGCAGUCCAUGGCUAGCACGUUUCCGUUUUCACUUCAACCUCCCAGGCAGGUGCUUGGGGCCUCUUCUCCCUGCAGGCGCCGGUCUCUUUCCCCCUCUAGGUUCCGGGUCAGUCUCAGUUCCCUCAGACUCAAGGAGGGCAGUCCUGCAGCUGCUUUUUCUUCUUGUCCGGGUGGGAGCAACACCCUUUCCUACGUUCUGCUUCCCUAGACUUCAGCCAUAGUUCAGGACAAGGCUUUUGAAAUAGCUUCUGCUGAGAUGUAAAACAAAACAAAGGCCGAGAAUUCCAUCUAGCUUCAAUCACCAGCUGAAAUACAACAUCACAUUGUAUUCCUGCUCCAGCAUCCAGAGAACACAGCUUCCGUUUUCACCUGAGGUGAAAUGAGGAUCCUGAGUGGCCCUUCAAGCCGUUUCUUCCACGUCUGGUGUGGCCCGGGGAAGCCAAAAGAUUAGACAGCCCUGGUUUGGAUGGACAAAGUCUCCAGGAAUGAAGUGCGUUUGGGAUGAGCACAGGACAGGCUGAGGCUCGGUUAUGUGUUUCAUCUGCAAGUUUUCUCAAAUUGUUGCAAAUCUUCAAAAAAUUUUCCAACAUAUCUACUGGAAAAAAUCCACAUAUAAGUGGCCCCCCCACCAGUCCAAACCUGUGUUGUUCAAGAGUCAGUUAUAUUUAUGAGGUGUUUUCAAAAGUUUAUGGAAAAUGUGUCUUACAAAAAAAACUAUGCAUGAAUUUCAAAUUUCUUUUGCACCAAAAUAAACUCAUACUAACUUGUUAUAAUAUGUCUGAAAAGUAUCUAGUUUGAGACACUAAGAAAGAUAAGACAUCAGUUUGGAAAGAGUCCCUAUCAAAGCAACGUGAAUUAUGCUAAAAUUGAAGCAGAACAAACACCAAAUCUGUGGUGAAGCUUAGGUAGAGGACUGGUGAAGUCAUUGAUGCUUUAUAAACAGUUUAGGGGGAUGAUGCCCCACAGAAAUCAGCCAUUUACAAAUGGUUAAGUCAUUUUAAGAAGGAACCGGAUGAUGUUGAACGUGAAGCCUGCAGCAGCAGACCACCUCAGUUUGAGAGGAAAAAAUCAGUCUCAUUGAUGCCCUAAUUAAAGAGGACUGGUGCUUAGCAGCAUAAAUAGCCAACACCGUAGACAUCUCAAUUGGUUCAGCUUACCUAAUCCUGGCCAAAAAAUUAAAGUUGAGCAAAUUUUCUACCUGAUGAGUGCCCAGACUGUCACACCCAGAUCAGCGCCAACCAGAGCAGAGCUUUCAAUGGAAAUUUUACACCAGAGGGGAUCAAGAUCUUGAAGCAUUGCUUAGAAGAAUUGUAACAGGAGAUGAAACAUGGCCCUGCUAGUACCAUUCUGGAGACAAAGCACAAUCAAAGCAAUGGCUACCAAGAGGUGGAAGUGGUGCAGUCACAGCAGAAGUGGACCACCCAAGAACAAAGGUCAUGGCAACAAUUUUUGGGAAUGUUCAAGGCAUUUUGUUUGUUGACUUUCUGGAGGGCCAAAGAACAGUAACAGCUGCUUAUCAUGAGAGUGUUUUGAGAAAGCCAAAGCGUUAGCAGAAAGUUUUCUAGGAAAGCUUCACCAGAGAGUCCUUCUCCACCACGAUGCUCCUGCUAUUUCUUACCAUCAAACCGGGGCAAUCUUUUUUUUUUUGAGACGGAGUCUUUGUCACCCAGGCUGGAGGGCAGUGG